CUCCAGGAGUUGGUGAUGGACAGGGAGGCCUGGUUCAUGGGGUCGCAAAGUCAGACACAACUGAGUCACUGAACUGAACUGAAGGGUUGGGGGAGGAAAAGGAGAAACUGGAAGGAAAGAGCAAGGAAUAUGAAAAAAGGAGAAACAAGGAAGAACAGACUGACAGAUAAUGUGUCCACAUCAAGUGGAUACAAUCUGCAUACUACCCUUGAGAGAUGUUAAUUGUUUGACAGUGGUUGAUCUUUAAAAGUAAAUGUCAUGAGACCUGGUCUAACGGACUUCAGUGCAAAACCAGAAAUGAACUUUUCGCAGAGAAUCUAAUAGGUGAGUUAUAGUCAUGCCCCUAACAUCUUUGAGCUUAGGAUCUAGGACACAUUCAAAUGGGGCAACAAUGAUCUAAGAAGUUCCAGGGAGAUAAGGAUAGGAAAAAUAUUGAGUUUUCACAGGAUAAUGGUCUCCAACCUACAAAAUACAACCUGAUCACCCUUCUCUCUUCUAAGGGCCUCCUUAGUUCCAUUCUUCUAAUUCCCCAUCCUACUCAUAAACAUGUUUUCUGGCAUAGUGUUCAUGCCUGACAAUAGAUGUAAAUUAACCUGCGUUCAUCCUCCUUUCUGUCUGAGACAAUCACCAAAAAUCCCUUUCUCUAGUGCUACAUAGUGAUCCUAGAUUUCUUCCACAGCCAGAGUAGGCUUGAUUAGGAAUUUGAGAAAAAUGAGCUGGUCUCAUUGCUUCGAAUGUUUUAACACAAUGCAGAACAAGAAAGAGUCCUGGGAAAGUAGAGAGUGGAGGGAGAUGACAUUAUUAGAUCAUUCUAUAAUGGUGAUGGUUUUUUCCUAAAACAUUUUAUGCCAGAAGUUAUAUUUGUGGAUAGGAUGGGGAAUUAGAAAAAAGGAUAGAAUUAAUGAGGCCAUUGGAAGUGAGUUCUUUUUUAAGGAUAAACUAUAAACUAGAGGAGUUCAUCAAUAGUGCAGUAAUCCUCUCCAGUCCACGUGUUUAUCUACCUAAGGGAGUCACUCAGUUAGGAUUUAGGAUAGGAUAUCUCUACUAGGAGGGUCGAGAAAAGCACAUAAAGGACAUGAAUUUACUCCCUUACUCAUGGUUGUUUUUUUGACAUUUACCCAAUAUUGGUGACAUAAUGGGUACCCAAGAAGUGUUCGUUGACUAGAGAAGGGAUGAAAGUAGACCAAGAUUUCAUUUAUUGUCAUAAAUAAUAGAAAGCUUUUGUUAAACGUCAAGUCCCACAUACUUUGACACUUACUACACAAGUGUACAUACCUUCAUUUCACUGACAAACAUUGAGAGUCAAAUAGAUUAAGUGGCUUGGCCAAGGUCAUUCAAGCAGCAUUUCCCCCAACUGAUGUAAAAGCAUGAGAUUUUCACUGAAUUGUCUGAAAUAAGGUCGCCAGGGUCAAGAAUUGAUGUUAUAAAUGUAAGGAAAUAGGGGGAAAAUCUAGGGGGGAAAAGCUACAAAUAGUCUCUUAACAACUCAAGUGAGGUUUUCUGGACAAAUGAAAUUUUAAAGGAAAAACUAUUUUCAGAGCAUAGUUUUGGAAAUAAAGAUUGAGGAGGAUGAGACUGUAGAUUUUGACAACAGAGGGUUAAGAAACUGAGAUUGCUUAGUGGUAGAGUCUACUAAAGUAGGAAGAUGAUGGUUUGCUUUUCUCAGAUUUCUAAGGGAAUAGAUUUUUUUAUCGAUUGCUGAUCA
rnacentral:lncRNA from 1 species